GACGAGCCUCACAAACGUUAUCCGGAAUUACUGGGCUUAAAGCGUGCGUAGGCGGCGCGGAAAGUUGGGUGUGAAAUCGCUCGGCUCAACCGAGGAAUUGCGCUGAAAACUACCGUGCUCGAGGGAGGUAGGGGAAUGCGGAACUUACGGUGGAGCGGUGAAAUGCGUUGAUAUCGUAGGGAACACCGGUGGCGAAAGCGGCAUUCUGGAUCUCAUCUGACGCUGAUGCACGAAAGCUAGGGGAGCAAACGGG
rnacentral:rRNA from 1 species